rnacentral:rRNA from 1 species
AACGAACGCUGGCGGCAUGCCUAACACAUGCAAGUCGAACGAGACCUUUGGGUCUAGUGGCGCACGGGUGCGUAACGCGUGGGAAUCUGCCCUUGGGUUCGGAAUAACAGUGAGAAAUUGCUGCUAAUACCGGAUGAUGUCUUCGGACCAAAGAUUUAUCGCCCAGGGAUGAGCCCGCGUAGGAUUAGCUAGUUGGUGGGGUAAUGGCCUACCAAGGCGACGAUCCUUAGCUGGUCUGAGAGGAUGAUCAGCCACACUGGGACUGAGACACGGCCUAGACUCCUACGGGAGGCAGCAGUGGGGAAUAUUGGACAAUGGGCGCAAGCCUGAUCCAGCAAUGCCGCGUGAGUGAUGAAGGCCUUAGGGUUGUAAAGCUCUUUUACCAGGGAUGAUAAUGACAGUACCUGGAGAAUAAGCUCCGGCUAACUCCGUG